GUGAUGCAACUAUUUCUUUCUAUAAAAUUGGAACGAUACAGAGAAGAUUAGCAUGGCCCCUGCGCAAGGAUGACAUUCAAAAAUCGAGAAAUGGUCCAAAUUAAA